rnacentral:tRNA from 1 species
GAUAAGAUGGCUGAGGAAAGCGGUAAAUUGUAAAUUUAUUUAUGAAUUUUUUUCUCUUGUCA